rnacentral:rRNA from 1 species
UACAGAGGGGGCAAGCGUUGUUCGGAAUUACUGGGCGUAAAGGGCGCGUAGGCGGCCCGCUAAGUCGAACGUGAAAUCCCCGAGCUCAACUCGGGAACUGCGUCCGAUACUGGUGGGCUUGAAUCCGGGAGAGGGAUGCGGAAUUCCAGGUGUAGCGGUGAAAUGCGUAGAGAUCGGGAAGAACAUCAGUGGCGAAGGCGGCCUGCUGGGCUGUUGCUGACGCUGAGGCGCGACAGCGUGGGGAGCAAACAGG